rnacentral:rRNA from 1 species
AUUGAACGCUGGCGGCAUGCCUUACACAUGCAAGUCGAACGGUAACAGGUUAAGCUGACGAGUGGCGAACGGGUGAGUAAUAUAUCGGAACGUGCCCAGUCGUGGGGGAUAACGUAGCGAAAGCUACGCUAAUACCGCAUACGAUCUACGGAUGAAAGCGGGGGAUCACAAGACCUCGCGCGAUUGGAGCGGCCGAUAUCAGAUUAGGUUGUUGGUGAGGUAAAAGCUCACCAAGCCUGCGAUCUGUAGCUGGUCUGAGAGGACGACCAGCCACACUGGAACUGAGACACGGUCCAGACUCCUACGGGAGGCAGCAGUGGGGAAGUUCGGACAAUGGACGCAAGUCUGAUCCAGCAAUGCCGCGUGCAGGACGAAGGCCUUCGGGUUGUAAACUGCUUUUGUACGGAACGAAACGGUGAGCUCUAAUACAGUUUGCUAAUGACGGUACCGUAAGAAUAAGCACCGGCUAACUACGUGCCAGCCGCCGCAGUAA